rnacentral:rRNA from 1 species
UACGGAGGGUGCGAGCGUUGUCCGGAAUCAUUGGGCGUAAAGGGCGCGUAGGUGGCGGGAUAAGCGUGCGGUGAAAGCUUGGGGCUCAACCCCGAGUCGGCCGUGCGAACUGUUCUGCUUGAGCACUGUAGAGGCAGGCGGAAUUCCGGGUGUAGCGGUGGAAUGCGUAGAGAUCCGGAAGAACACCGGUGGCGAAGGCGGCCUGCUGGGCAGUUGCUGACACUGAGGCGCGACAGCGUGGGGAGCAAACAGG